rnacentral:rRNA from 1 species
CACGUAGGGGACGAGCGUUGUCCGGAUUCAUUGGGCGUAAAGGGCGCGUAGGCGGCUUGUACAGUCAGACGUGAAAUUCCUGGGCUCAACCUGGGGGCUGCGUUUGAUACGUAUGGGCUUGAGUUCGGAAGAGGGUCGUGGAAUUCCCAGUGUAGAGGUGAAAUUCGUAGAUAUUGGGAAGAACACCGGUGGCGAAGGCGGCGACCUGGUCCGAUACUGACGCUGAGGCGCGAAAGCGUGGGGAGCAAACAGG